rnacentral:rRNA from 1 species
GAUGAACGCUGGCGGCGUGCCUAAUACAUGCAAGUCGAGCGAACGGACGAGAAGCUUGCUUCUCUGAUGUUAGCGGCGGACGGGUGAGUAACACGUGGAUAACCUACCUAUAAGACUGGGAUAACUUCGGGAAACCGGAGCUAAUACCGGAUAAUAUUUUGAACCGCAUGGUUCAAAAGUGAAAGACGGUCUUGCUGUCACUUAUAGCUGGAUCCGCGCUGCAUUAGCUAGUUGGUAAGGUAACGGCUUACCAAGGCAACGAUGCAUAGCCGACCUGAGAGGGGGAUCGGCCACACGGGAACUGGGACACGGUCCAGACGCCUACGGGAGGCAGCAGUAGGGAAUCUUCCGCAAUGGGCGAAAGCCUGACGGAGCAACGCCGCGUGAGUGAUGAAGGUCUUCGGAUCGUAAAACUCUGUUAUUAGGGAAGAACAUAUGUGUAAGUAACUGUGCACAUCUUGACGGUACCUAAUCAGAAAGCCACGGCUAACUACGUG